rnacentral:lncRNA from 1 species
GUGCUCUCGGGCCCCGCCCGUCACCGCCCAUUGGCGCUGGCGCCGGGCGGGGGUGCGGGCGGGGCAGCAGUUCGGAGUCCGGUGCGCGCGGGCGGGGUCCCCAUUGCCUGCCACGCACCCGGACUAGCGACUCCCCUGGGCCUCCUCGCCAUGGACGCGGACGACUCCCGGUCGCGCAAGGGCUCCUUGCGGAAGUUCCUGGAGCACCUCUCCGGGGCUGGCAAGGCCAUCGGCGUGCUGACCAGCUGCGCGGAUGCUCAAGAUUUCUUCGCAUCUUCUCCCUUAUCCAGAAGUGAGGGUGAACGCUGAGUUAUUCACGGGAGUCAAGACACCACACACAGCACAAAGUGACGUUUGUUUCCCUGAAAUGAUUUGUGUGUGUUCACCUUAUAAAUGCAACUCAAUAAAACAGACGUCCACACGGAAGCUGUCCAGGUGGCUCUGGCCAAACCCAAAGAGCAUAAGAUGGCCGGUGCCUAUGCCUUCCAAAUGCAGGUCCCUGGACGUGCAGACCUCCAUGGAUGCCUACACCCCUCCAGGGCUAGAUAAAGGAGGUUCCGGAAACCCUGGUAGUUGUGAAGGUGGCUCCCAGCUCUGACAGUCUUGAACCCUGCGGGUGCGGAGGUCACACAGCAGAAGAACAACCGAGGGAAGCAUCAGCAGGCUCCGAAUAUGUUUGAACCAGAGAUGGCAAAUAGGCUUCAGCCAACUGAAAACACCAGAGAUUCAUGGUGGCCACCUGAGGGGUUGUGCUCUUAAAAAACAAAAAUUAAAAUUAAAAUUAAAAAAUUAAAAAAGGAAGGGGUCAAGAAUCCAUCAGGUCUGACUGAGACAUGUAUCAGUGACUAACACCCCAUAUGGCAAAAGUACUCCGGUGCGCUUUGGGUCCUCACAGCUUCAGCAGUAUUCAAAGGCGUGUGCUUCCCUAAGAGUAAGCCACGGGAAUAGCCCCAGCAACACUGCCAGGAGAAACGUCUAACAUGGAUUUGGCUAGAAAUACAGUUGUCUUUAACAAAUUAACACUGAAUAAAUCCGGACUUAUUAGAGCCUGCGAGAAUGAC